rnacentral:rRNA from 1 species
AACGAACGCUGGCGGCAGGCUUAACACAUGCAAGUCGAACGGGUGUAGCAAUACAUCAGUGGCAGACGGGUGAGUAACACGUGGGAACCUUCCUAGAGGUACGGAACAACGCAGGGAAACUUGCGCUAAUACCGUAUACGCUCUUGCGAGGAAAGAUUUAUCGCCUUUAGACGGGCCCGCGUCGGAUUAGCUAGUUGGUAAGGUAACGGCUUACCAAGGCGACGAUCCGUAGCUGAUCUGAGAGGAUGAUCAGCCACACUGGGACUGAGACACGGCCCAGACUCCUACGGGAGGCAGCAGUGGGGAAUCUUGGACAAUGGGCGCAAGCCUGAUCCAGCCAUGCCGCGUGAGUGAAGAAGGCCUUCGGGUUGUAAAGCUCUUUUGUCUAGGGACGAUAAUGACGGUACCUGAAGAAUAAGCCCCGGCAAACUUCGUGCCAGCAGCCGCGGUAAAAGUAGUGUGUA